CAAAUAAAUGAAAACCAUUGGAAUAUGGUAAAUUGGAUUACAGUUGAAUGCCUAUGGAAACCUCGUCUCUGCUCUACAGUUGCACCGUGUGUGACCUCGGAUCGGACCUUGGAUACUUCACCAUCUCAUCCUUAGGUACCUGGUUUCACAGACUCUUCUGUAUGAACUUUAGC